GUAUCAGAUCUCUAUAAUAGAGAUCAAGAGAAGAAUCCUUUCUUCUCAAUUCUCCCAUGCACAAGAGAGAACCUUUCUCUCUUCCUUUUUGCGCCAUCAAGAAGAACUUUUCUUCUCUAAUUUUCUAUGAUAAAAAUCAGAUCUAGUCUGAUUUUUUAUACAAAAAAUAAUAUAAAAUUUUAAGUCCUAGAAGACCUAAAAGAGAGACCCA
rnacentral:lncRNA from 1 species